AAUACUAGUGUCUUCGAAUAGGUGUGGGUCAAUUGACCCACACCUAUUCGAAGACACUAGUA
rnacentral:pre_miRNA from 1 species